rnacentral:tRNA from 1 species
GCGCUGGUGGUGUAAGGCGUAGCAUCGCUGCAUGGAAAGCAGAAGAUGUGGGUUCGAGUCCCACCUUGCGCA